GGCUCUCAAUUUCGCAGCGCGAGAAGAAUACGUGGCACACGGCCCUGGUCGGGCCCGUGGAAACGCGGCCGACGUCGGGUUGAGAAUUAUUAUUCCAUGUGGACGACGGGCCGCUAAUAACGGGCCGAGCCUGGCCCGCGCAUAUGGCAUUCAAUGACCGGCCAAUUGGACAAUUGAGCUCAAUCAUAAUAAUACACAUAUAUAUGGAUCGUUGCAACGCGAGCGUUUCGGCCGGUUAUCAAUAAAUUCACUUGCCGGAAAGUAAAUUCACCGGUCGCGUCCUGAUUUCGCCCGUUUCCAUUCGUUCUUCGUCGUUACGUCUACUCCUCUCUCUUUUUACUCGUUGUCGCGUUUACGUCGAAUUUAGCCCGAUUCUAUCCGGCUGUGCGAGUCGAAAGACGAAGAAUUGGCUGGCUGGAACAUCGUUUUCGGUAAUUUCAUUCGGAUCGACGCCAGGUGGGCAGAGACUGGCGGUAAAAACUACAAGUUUGCAGAGGUUUUGGAAUUACAUUAAAUUGGUUUAUACGUAGAAUCGUGGAGUUUGAAACAAAAUUUUUGUGGAAAAUUUGAAGUUUGAAGAGGUUUCCUUUUAGCGAGGUUUUUAGGCGAGGCUUCUGCGAUAAUUUCAAAUUGCUUCGAACGUAGAAAAAUGGGGAACGGAGCGGUGGAAAUUUGGAGACACGUCUGAGAGAGAUUUGGAAGAGUUUCCAAAGUGAUUUCGCACGUGUGUAAAACAGUUUUUAAGCGAGUUUCGAAGUGUUUUUAAAGAAUUUUGGAUUGAUUUAGGCGAAGCAAACACGGAACAUGCAAAGGUUCUGAUUUUUUACAUUUUCCAAGGGAUCUUCGAACUAUUUUGAAAGGAUUCCGACGCUUGCACAGAUGUUGCUCUCGCAUGAUAUGCAGAUAACCAGUAUAUGAACAACGAUAGGAAAAGAAUCCACGUAAAUGUGAGGAGAAUAGAAAAUUGUAAAUAUUUAGAAAAAUGUUGGACGUGUUCAAAACACCCUCCAAAGGACUCUUGAAGUGAUUUUAAGGAAUUUUGGAAGAUUGAUUUAGGCAAAGCAAACAUGGAAGGCAUGAAACUUGCGAAGAUUUUUCAGAGUUUUUAAAGGAUCUUACGAUUAUUUUCGAAGAUUUCUUACAAUCUCGAAAAGAUUUUGAAACCGUGUUGGAAAAAUUCUGACGCUUCCAACGCUGUCGUUUACAUGAUACGAGGAUAAUCACACUGCAUGAACAGCAACGAUACAAAAACAAUCUACGUAAAUCUAAGAGUAGGAAGAGUAAAAGAAGUGAAUAUUUCCUUUAAAUAGCCUACGGAAGCAAGUACGCACGUUUCGAGAUUUCUACCACGUAGGAAUGAUCAUAAAAUAACUGGAGGUUCUCAGGUAGUCGGUAGUUAGUCCUUUAGCAAGCAACGCCUCUUUAUUGCUUUACUUAUUAACGAUCGCACGUGUGCAAUUGCCGGAAAUUCCAAGGAAACGACGGCUUCCAGUAAAAUACCGUUUGGAGAAAGCGUUUAAUAGGACGCGUAGAACCCGCAUCGGAAUCUGUUCACCAGAUGUUGUCGUGUUUUCCAUCGGUCGGCCAGUGAAAUUCGACUUUGACCAGCUUCCUAGAAACUGACGUUUCCAUUGUUGCGUGGAAACCUUAAUGGAAUUCGGUAAUGGAGGCGCAGGCUAACGAAACGAAUUCAUUAAGAGUUACGUUCUAAGUUCUAUGUAGCUGAAUUUUGGAAUUUUCAAAAUAUCUUUGUCGCGUUCUUUGAUAUUUAAUUUAUUAUUGUAAUAAACAUUAAAUUUCUGGCGUUGUUGGCCAACGAUUAUAUUGAUAUAAAUUUAAUUAUGUUCAAUAUUAAUUUUAUUAUAGUUGAUCAAGCUUGUCCAUUUUAAUUCAGUUAGGUUUUAGAGCAAAAGCGAAUUUUAGACUGAAUUUUGGAGUUUUUGAUAUUUUUAUAUCGCCGUGCUCUUUGAUAUUUAAUUUAUUAUUGUAAUAAACAUUAAAUUUCUGGCGCUAUUGGUCAACGAUUAUAUUGAUGUAAAUUUAAUUAUGUUCAAUAUUAAUUUUAUAUAGUUGAUCAAGCUUGUCCAUUUUAAUUCAGUUAGGUUUUAGAGCAAAAGCGAAUUUUAGACUGAAUUUUGGAGUUUUUGAUAUUUUUAUAUCGCCGUGUUCUUUGAUAUUUAAUUUGUUAUUGUAAUAAACAUUAAAUUUCUGGCGCUGUUGGCCAACGAUCAUAUUGAUGUAAAUUUAAUUAUGUUCAAUAUUAUGUUCAAUAUUAAUUUUAAUUCAGUUAGAUUUUACAAUAGAAAUGAAUUUUAGUAAAUUAAGAGAAUUGAGAAGAUCAGAGGAGUUUUACGUUAUCAUUUAAUUUCAAAGGAACCUAGGCACUCGAGGGAAAAAGUUACGAGUUUUGGAUGAAUUAUAUUUGAUUUUCCACAGUCUUUAUUAACAUUUGUAUAUUCUUGAAAAGUUAUUACCUCCUGUAAAGUUAUGGAACGAGAUUGUAGGUUUUGAAUAAGACGACGCCCGAAUAUCUUCGAUUAACAAUGCGAACUUCAAUUCAGAGAAAUUGUAGCCUAGAAAUUUAGAUCGACAGAAUGGAGAACGAAGCUUGAAAUAUUCAAGUGGAAUUCAAACUCCAAAUUGAAACAUUCAAAUGUUCGAAAUGGACAUAAUCGAAAAUGCAAGCAAAUAUUCAAAUUCGAAUGUCUGAAUGUAAAAAUUCAAAUUUACCUUCGAUCUCGAUCGUCGACACGAUAAUUCGUCGAAACAUCGAGAUAACAAGCGACGAGACCCAAACUGAUUCGAGUUAAACAAAUACGAAAAUAAAUGUGAGAUUUUCUGUAACGAUUCUUAUCUAGUAAAAUGAAUUUUUAUUUUCCACAAGUUUACUCAACGAUAUUGCGUAUAAUUUCUCAUCAAUCAAGAUACGCGCUACAUACAUAUGCUCCAUAGUUACGAUAAGAUCAUCGACAAGAUUAGGCGUUAUUUAAUCGAUCGAUUUCGUCGUGUUAUUUACUUUUAAUGUUACUUAGAAUUUACGGUUUGUUUCCGAAUAAAUAUAAUUUUACGAUACCGGAGACUUCCAGUUGAGAUUUCGUUAAUAACCUUCUGCUUAUAAUUUUCAAAAUCCUAUCUGUCAUGGUAUAUGAAAUAAAUAUAAAUUGAUUCAGAA